CGAACGGGGAGAUUCAUCGUCAGCGACGCUGGCUUCGCGUCGGUGGGCGAUGUCCCGCUCGGGGGGCCCUCGUGGUUUCUCGCGGCGCGGACACGCCGCCGUGCGCUCGAUGCCCGGCGUUUUCGUCGUCGUGCACUUCUCCCCUAGUAGAACGUCGCGACCCGCUGGGUGUCGGUCUACGGCCCGGGUGUGGUGACUGACGCGUCGCCGGUCAAACGGCAACGCCGUCAAACCCCCGAUCGCCCGGCCGGCUGCCCGGCGGUACACGCAAGGUAUCAGGCCGCACGCGAGCGCAGUGCGUCGAGGCCGUCGCAAGCGCGCGCCACGGUACACGGAGGUUAAACGGACCUAGCGCCGUCACCGGUCCUGGCCCGCUGUUGGUCGUACGGUUAGCCUUCGACAGGCCUGCGAACGCGUUCCCGCCGGGGGGUAACCUCCGUCGCUCGGCGCGUAGGCGCGCGGGUUACGCCGAUACCGGUCGGCGACGCUACUGCUUUGGGUACUCUUAGGACCCGUCUUGAAAC
rnacentral:rRNA from 1 species